rnacentral:rRNA from 1 species
UACGUAGGGUGCGAGCGUUGCCCGGAUUUAUUGGGCGUAAAGGGCGCGUAGGCGGUGAGAUGCGUCCGUUGUGAAAUCGCCCGGCUCAACUGGGCGGGGUCAGCGGAUACGGUCUCACUCGAGCAAGCUAGGGGGCAAUGGAAUUCCCGGUGUAGUGGUGGAAUGCGUAGAUAUCUGGAGGAACAUCGGUGGCGAAGGCGGCAUCCUGGACCGAUAUUGACGCUGAGGCGCGAAAGCCAGGGGAGCAAACGGG